AAUGCUGUUGCUAUACACUCUUAAUUAGACUGGCCAGUUGGAUCCUAAUUGUCAGUCAUUCAUUUCGCUAAUGUAAAAUAACCUGAUAAAGUGCCCCUGUCAAAAAGGUUGCAAUCUUGCAUGGUUAGUUGAUUAGGUAUAUUCCCUUAUUAUUUUCACUUGCUUACAAAGCAUGAACAUUUGCUAUUAGCUCCUGGUUUGAAGAAUUAAAUCGUUCCAAUAAUAUAUAUGUGAUGUAUAAGCAACAUUUAUUUACUUUACAUGCUGAUUUUCUUAAUUGUGCUACCUUCUCAGAGAAUUUAUUUGGUUAUCAGGAAAUACCAGUCUAUCGUCGAAUAUACUUUGUUUGUAAAAGGUAACUUUGUAUAUCACGCUUUUGCUUCUAGAAAUAAUUUGAUUGACUGAUGUGCUACUUUGAUCUGUCCGGUCAUCACCUGGGUUGUGUGCCCCGACCCAGUUCCACAUGUUUGUUCUUUACAGUUCUGAUCUUUUCCCAAAUUGAUGAGCUGCUAGGUUAUUUGGCGCACCAAGGCUAACAACUUAAUAUCUCCUAAUAAUAUUAAUGUUAGUUCUGAAAUGGAGUGUAUAGAUGCCAAUAGACGCAGAGAUCUGAAACCAGGCAUAUUCUAUGGAAGAUAUCCAAACAUGGGUACAUGAUGCAUUGCUUUAAGUUUAAUUAAAGCUCUGAAAUUUGUUCAGAAUGUAUAUUUUAUGCCAGGCUCGCUUACUGCUUUGGUAAGUAGGUGUUCUUCUCAGCUCUGAAAGGAGAUUGAUUAAUGCGGAGAGUAUAAUCGAUAAAUAUUAUUUAUGACUUCUUUCUAUAUUUUACUGCUCUAUUCCGUUCACCUCUACUGUACAUCUCAUAUAGAAUGAUGUUGCUGGUUCUCCAAUCUCCAGUAGCUCCAAUUACUUACAGUUAUCAUGCAUGGAUGCAGGUUGAAAGAAAAACGAGCUUAGGCAUUCUUUUCUGGGUUUGUUUGCACCUACAAGCUUCCUGCACUUGAUGAAAAGGGAGAGCCAACUAUUGAAACGAGGAACACAGUGUCUCAUGUUCACAUGCUAAAUAUUUUUCAUUGCUUUUUCAUUUCUCACGGAUAAUCCAUACACUUUUGUUAUUGCAGAGUUUUCCUCUUAAAAGAUAUACCAGACAGAAUGUCCAUCUUGAUUUGCGAACUAUAUAGAUACCACUGCUUGAUGUAUUUAUGUAUGCUGAUCUUAUCUUAGAUGAGAUGUUUCCUAUCUAGACGUUGCUAUCAUAAGUUUCUACAUGUAUUUUGAUCCAAAAAAUUGUCACUUGUACGAAAAGAGUAGAAACUUAUAUCUCAAAUCUAUUAUAGGAACAAAGCCAAAUUCAGGCAGUCAACUUGGAC